ACGAAGGAAAGACAAAACGAAAUGUCAGAUCGAGGAUGACUAGCUAACUUACGUGUUGGAUUUAUUAGUUGAAUUUGAUAUCAGGCAUCGAGGAAAUUUGUAAAAUAUUCCCUAUUUCAUUAUUAGUUGGUUAGCGAUUAAAAGAUGAUCGGUCAAUGAAUUCGAAAUAUCAAGGAGGUAGUGUAGACUGUUGGUGGUAGAUCAAGCAGUUUUCGUUCUCGCCGGAAUACUUGGAGAUACCCGGUAACAAACCGGUUUACUUAUAGGAUUACUGGAAUCGAUCUGCACAUUGUCGUCGAGAAGAAGGAGAGGGAUAUACAUAACCUGCGCUUUGUGGUAGAACACCAAAAUUCUUAGAGCGACAAACAACAAAACUGUGUUUCGCUAGAAAGAUUGGUGAUAUCCGAACAAAUUCUCUAAGAAUUU